CGCUAAAACCAUUUCGCUUUUACACCGCGUCUCCUUCUAUCAGUUUCCUUUUUACCUUCAAGAAACCCUAGAUGUCUUUGACGGCGAUUGAACAGAGCAUCUUCCCCUUUUCCUCUCCAUUUUAUCGCUGGCACCAGAAGAAGAACUAUAUAACCCAUUUGCAAUUAUAGUUGAAACCCUAAUUUUCCAUCGCAAUUCUGCCCCAUUUGUUUUCUCAGACAAGAUCUCAAACAAGUUUAUCACUAUGAAUUCUACAAACUAUUUGUCAAUUUGUAAACCCUACAACUCAACUCUUCAGAUCUUGGAUUCGUCUCAAAUAGCCUUUUACAAUCGGUGAUUGUUCAUUGUUUUGAGUCUGUUUCUAAAGUUUCUGUCACUUCGAAGACGAAGACGAGCAAGUGCGUUCCUGGAAUAUUGGAGUUUUUACAAAUCUGGUUAGUCAACACGGAUACAAUUCAAAUUCUUUUGUUGAUGAUGAUGCAUGUACACAAUUUGUUUUGGAAUUAGAUCUUGAUUUUUACAUUAAUUCUUUGAUACAAUGUCACUUCAAAUAUUUUAGUUUCUGAUUAGCUAAUUAAUUGAUAUUUGAUCUCUGAUAUUUUCAUAUACUGCUGAUUUUAUCCACUGAGCAGGAGUGUUAUGCAUUCUCAAAUUAAAGGUGUCUGUUUCUUUUCUCUUCAUCUUGCUUAAUUUGUAUCAGUGUCCAAGACAUUGUCUUAUUUUUAUUUGAUGUGGUGAUGGUAUGUAACAGUUACAAUACACAUGCAUACAUGUAAAUAUGUAGUUAUCAUGUUUUUAACGUCUUUUAGGUUCAUUUGGUGCGAUCUAAAUAUCUUUGUUAUCUGAAUGCAUACACUACUGUUUUGGUUGGAGUUGAAUAUGGAGGUGGAAGUUCACGAUACUGGGUUGCUAAAGGUCUAAAGAUGGAGUUCUUAUGAUGCUGAGAAAUUGGCAAAGAUUCUUAAUGACAGCAGCUUGAAAUCCAAAUACUCCACUGUUGAAAAAGCUGCAGGAUAUUGGAACAAGACCAUUAAGCUUGGACAAGGAGGAUUUGGGACAAUCUACAUGGCACUACCUAAUAGUACAUAGUGGGUGGAUUGAUUCUGUUAACUAUGAAGAUAAAGCAUCAACUUACAAUGUAGUGUGGCUGAUAGUACUUUAUCAGUCUCACAAGCGCCAUAUCCUGGGUAAUACAGGUAUGAUCAUUUUUUAUUGUUCCGCAUCACAAACAAAGCAUGCAGUUUAUAUAACGCCUCAAAAUGGGUGCAAUUCAAUUUGACCCGUAAAGCUAAACACUUUUCCGCCUUUUUUGUAUUAUAAGUAUAUUUAAUAAAAAAAAUAACAGUGUUUUCUUGAAAAAAUUAAGAUCUGGGACAUGGGUAUUUGAAUUCAUGUGAUACGCCUUUGGGCCCUUUUUAUCGAUCCUGACCCAUCAUCAAAUGAAUAAGUUUAUAAGUCUGCUUACAUCGAACAACUUAAUAUGUCAAUAUGUUUUUGUGGUUUUUAUUAUGUAUUAUCUAUUCUAAUCUAUAACGUAGUUUGGUAGUUCCAAGGUUAAUUUGCGUGCUAAAAGUAUACUGCAUGUCUAUUUCUGUUAUAUAUUCAGAUAGAAAAUGUGGUGAUGUUUUGUGUAUCCCUGAUACUAGAGAAACGAACAAAGAUGUUGCAGCUACAGGGUGAAGUUCAAGAAAUGGUGACUUCUAUUUUUUUUCUCCAAAACUUAUUUAUGAUGUUAUAAGAAUUUGAAGCUUGGCACCAUUGUAUUUUUCAGAAUAAUAAAAAAUCGGAUGAUCUGCAAUAACAUAACAGAUUAUUGUUUAAAAUUGUAAAAAAAUCGGAUGACCCACUAUAAUAUACAAGGUUUCAGCACCUUCUUUUUAUUCAAGCAUGAACAAGUGUAGAAAAGAAGCAUUAAAACCUCUAAAAGUAGAUGAAUCAACUAGCGCACGCAUGAAAUGCACUUUUGGUGGUGGUGGUGAUGGUCAAAAGCAUCUAUUUGUGGCUUCUUUUUCUUCGAUCCAGCUGCUGAUGUAUUAUUAUUAUUAUUAUUAUUAUUAUUAUUAUUAUUAUACAUAUUACUUGACAGGUUGGAUAACAUUUCAAAAAAGGGUUCACAUCCAAUAGUAAACUGCUAGAACGCGUCGUGCCAAGUUGAUUAGACCUACUAAACUUGACUAAUUGAGGACCAACUCAUGUUUUACCCCCCUUCUUUAAGGUAAGCUUUGUUUAAAAUCAUUUUAUCUUAAGCAAAGUUAAGAUUCUAAGUCCUAACGGUUCUAAGAUGUGUGAGGGUGCUAGACAAGUGUCAAUUUUGUAGAAUUGUCAGUUUAUGAUCUUGAUUGUCUGCUUUAUGAUGCAACCUAAUUUGUCAAGGCCUUUGAAAUAUUCUUUAUUACUGUCGUGGUGUGCCUCAAUGAUGAUACAAUUGUGGCGAAGAAUAUCGAUGAUUUGUUCAAAUGCGGAAAACUUUUGCGCCAACUUAAAGAAUUCUGAGAGGCUUAACUCGGGUGUUAUGUUAGUCCAACCAUCUAAAGAGCUUUCCAAGGACAUGGUCACCAAAGUUACAACUUUGUAUUCUUAUGGUGGAGGUAUAUUAUCCCUUUAAAUAAUGAUAUGGGCCAAAGGGAAAAUUUAACUUCCCAAGAUGACAUUGUAAUUUACAUGUGAUGCAAUUUUAUGGAGCGAAGGCCAAGAUGAAUUUAGUCUGUUAGAGUUUCAUAUCAGCAGAGUUCUCAUCUUUUCAGCUAAAGGUGUAAGAGGAACGCUCGCUGCACGGUUGGAUUUAAACAGCCCGGCGUCAGACUUUUGGUGGAACAACUUGGUCACAAAAAAGGUAAAUAUGUUUCUUUGGAGAACAAUCGACGAGAAGAUACUGUCGGCAAUGGCUCUCGUGAAAAGGGGGUUGCCAAUGCAGUUGGUAACAUGUCAGUCGUGUGGCAUUACAGAUGAGUCUGUAGAACACAUCCUACUGAAGUGUCAAGUGGAAAGAGACAUUCGAAGGUAAAUUUUGGUAAAAUACCGGUACCGAUACCGAAAAUGCCAAAAUGUGGGUACCGAAAAAAUCGGCAUGAGAAAUUCGGUACCGGUACCAAGUAUCAAAUGCUCAUCCCUACUUGAUUUAUUAAGCGAAAAAUGAAGUAAGAGCAAAAACGGUACUGAUUAUAUACGCACAGUUACUCUACUCACACUUACGCACCAAGAUAGGAAAGAGUGGUUUUUAUGAGGUACUCCUUUACAUAAAAAAUACGCCCAUCAGUAAUGUUGUAAAAUAGUUUGUAACUUUUGAUGUUUUCACUAAAGGAUGGUCUUAAGCAGGUUUUCCUUUUCUAAAGGCUCUGAUGUACAAUCUUAAAAUACUAGCAGUGAAAACAAAUUGAGCAUUGGAACUAUUUUAGACAUAAGUUUGGGAUGUUGAUACCUUUUUAAGGUUCUUGUGCUUCCACUUUUGCUUUCACAUGAACAUCAUUGUGAAUACGAAUGAAGACUAUGAGUUGUUUGCGGGGCUUAGUUACCAUGAGCUGUGAAUACGAAAUUACAGGUUAGGAUUGUUGCUGGUAUAUACAUUUGUUUGGAUGUUGAUUCGUUACAAUCAACCCUAAAUCUCUUCCAUCGUCUACAUUUUAGAUUCCAAUAUUGGGUUUUUAGGUCUGUAGUUGGGAGUUCCCUACAGAACGCAGAUUUCAUUCGUUGAACACCAAUUUCUUUCACAACUAGGUUUUAUCAUGAGGUUUCUUUUAACUGGUUCGCCGGUGAUGGGGGUGACACGAUUUUUUGGUUCGUCGGUGAUCUAUACUUUCCAUUGUAGCCGGCGGUGUUAUACUGGUGUUGUAUGGAGUACGAACCUAUUUUAAAGCAUUUCAAGAUGACGAGUACCCGAGUUUUGAGAUUGUAUUCAAGUGAGGCAUAUUGGGAAUGACAUUGCUUUGCUACUUAUCUGAGGUUCGGGUCGAAUUUGAGGUAUGGGAGUGGAGCUGGAUAAGAACAAUUGUAUAUAAGGGGAAUUCGCCCUAAUUUGAGGCACUUGUGUCAGUAUUGGCACAAAACAGUUACAUAUAACAAAGAUGUGUGGCAGUGGAAGGAUGACCAGAUUAAAUAUUCUCUAUAAAGCAGGUGAAGGAACAGUUAGACAGUGAGCUAGAGAUAAAUCAGUGGGGCCCAGGUAUUCUGCUGGAAUAAUAUAGCUACCCCCAAAGUCAACUAAUUCGUGUGGCGAGCUAAUAAUGGGAUAAUUCCUACUUUGGAUGCAAUGGCGGCAAGAGGUAUGACUUUUCUAUCCAUGUCCUGUUAGCUAUGUGGUUAAAUACUGAUUGUAAAUUUUGUAAAUUGUAAUUGCUUUUGAUGCUUUGAAGAUUAGCAUGUGCUUAAAAGCCUUAAUUUGGAAUGAAUCUGAAUUACAACGCUGGAAUGUGUUGAGCUACCGGAAUGUAUGACUGUUCUAACCCUUUAUUAUGCAGCCCUUCCAGCUACAGGAAUCCAAAUAUCUUAGCAUAAAUGCAUGAUUUUUCGUUGGUCAUCAUUAACGGGCAUCAUUUAUGGGUUAAAUUUGCCUUAAUAAAUCAUUCUUAACCUCUGUACUUGUGUAUUCAUUUUCUUCUCCGGUUACUCAGACAUUCUGUUACAAGGAUCACUAAGGUUGUAACAAGGAUCGAUGUUUAUUCAGAACUACCAUCACACGCAGGCAAGCUACGCCGGUGUAGCGGACCGCCACUGUUGCCUCUCCAUUCUUCUGACCAUGAGGUAAUAGUUGAUUACGUUGUAUGUCGAUGUGUGUGUAUGAAUGUGUGCGUUUCAUUUACAGAGUGUGUGUCGAUGUGAGUUUAGGUGCCUAUGUGUUGUGUCGAGUGUGUGCACGCUUAUGAAUGUGUGUGUGUCGACUGUGUUAGAUGACAUUAACAUGUUAGAACGGGAUGAAAAUGGAGAAAAGGGUUGUUAAUGUUGCAUAAUCCAUAGUCUUUUAAGUACAUUGACAGUUUGAGGAGCCUAAUUUUAUAAGGUAUUCUUGAAAAACAGUAUGUACUGUUAAAUAGAUAAAGGUAUGUUGAAGGGUAGUCAGUAGUGUAAGCGAUGAUAUUUACCCAGGUACUGUAACUUAACUUACAUGUUUCCUCGCCAAUCUCACUAGAUUAACACACCUUUAUCUUUUCAAUUAACAGUUUUAAUGGGAACUUAUUCGUAAAUGCUGGUGCAAUUGUUCAAGGUUGUUUGUUGAUUCCAGAUUCUCCAUUCUAUCGUAUCUGGGUUCAAGGUUGUUUCUUGAUUCCAGAUUCUCCAUUCUAUCCUAUCUGGAAGGGCAAUGUGGUUUUUUUGAAUUUGUACAAAAGGCGCAUGCCAGGAAUGUCUCUUAAAGUGUGAAUGCAUUUUAAAAGAAAGAUGCUUAAGAAAAUAAGUUACUUCUUGAUAUUGCUCUAUGGUUGACUUAGAAAUUUAAGAUAACAACCGACUCAUCAUUAGUCUUGACUUGAAAGCUUCAAUAAUGUAGUAAAGGAUUUGUUGUAAAGAGUAGUUAAUUUUUUAAUGUUCACUAUGCGUGAUUGGGGAAGAUGAUCAGGUGAUCUACUAAUAGGUGAUCUGCUAAUUUCUGUAAAACACAAAGGGUAAAAUAUCAACCUUUAUGAUAGGCAAAGAGUUGAGGAAUUUUAAAAAGUCUGAAUAGAUGGGGUUUGCUGAUAUGAACCGAUCAAAGCAACCAAAAGGCGUUCUGGUAUACAUUAAAGUUAGCGAAAGGUGGAAAAUUGUUUGCUUUAGUCACAAUUUUUUUGAGAUAAAAUAUUUAAAUUUUUGAACUUUCGGGAUAGCCUACAUCUUAACUCAUAGGAACUAUACCCUGUAUUUUUCUUUCUUUUUUUUAUGUUUUUCAAUCAUGUUGCUACUAAAGAAACAUGUCACAUUUAUAUUAAGACAAGCCCGAUUCUUAUUUUUACCAAGUAUUAAUAACAAUGCUGAUUGUUCUUCUUUUUACCUCCAUGUACUUGGUGUUUUGGCUUAUUGGAAAUAACAUGAAAGGAGAGAAAUCAUAUUCACAUCACUUGAAUAAUGAUCUCAUUUAAACCAAAUUUGUUGUUUUCGACUGCAUAUUGUUGAAUAGAUCUAUACCAAGAAAAAGUGGAGAAGGUUGAAUGAAUGAGUCUAAGGGUGAGCUUUUCGUGGUUCCGCCCCGUGAGAACCUUUGACCCGACCCUCCAAAAUGGCGAGCAAAAGUUUUCGGUUCUAUGUUAGAGUCGGUUCAGUUCUGAGCCGUCAAACUUAAAUGGAACCAUGAGAACUUAUUGAAAUUUAAAUUGAAAAAAUUUUUUUUUUUGUUUGAUGCGCUAUUACUCUUUGUACAAUUGAGCAUGAUUAAAAAUGAAUGAUGUUUAGUUUUU